rnacentral:tmRNA from 1 species
GGGGGUGACCGGUUUCGACUUUGACCUUGCAAGACAGUGGGAAGCGGGCCGAGGACGGCGGACAUAACCUCGUUAAUCCUGUGUCCGCGAAAAAUAAGUGCCAAUGUGAAGCACUCCGAGAAGGUCAGCCAGGACUCCCUGGCUCUCGCUGCCUGAUCAGCGACUUCUCUGUCGACCCGGGAGCGCCUCCGGCCCGGAGUCGGCAUCGGUAGGAGGCUCAACCGAUCGACCCGGCUACGGGGUUGAUCGGGAAAUCAAACAGUAGCUGGGCCUAUCGGCGACUUGCCUGCGUGAUCGCCGGGGCCGAGAAAAGCAGAGCAGGCUGCGCCCGGAGAAGCCCUGUCUUGGGGUUGAAGGACGCGGGUUCGAUUCCCGCCACCUCCACUG